CGUUAUUCGGAAUUACUGGACUUAAAGGGUUUGUAGGCGGCCUUGUAAGUCAGGUGUGAAAGCCCUCGGCUCAACCGAGGAACAGCGCUUGAUACUGCAAGGCUUGAGGGAGACAGGGGUAAGCGGAACUGAUGGUGGAGCGGUGAAAUGCGUUGAUAUCAUCAGGAACACCGGUGGCGAAAGCGGCUUACUGGGUCUCUUCUGACGCUGAGGACCGAAAGCUAGGGUAGCGAACGGG
rnacentral:rRNA from 1 species